rnacentral:rRNA from 1 species
AUACGAAGGGGGCAAGCGUUGUUCGGAAUAACUGGGCGUAAAGCGCACGUAGGCGGAUUGAUUAGUUAGGGGUGAAAUCCCGAGGCUCAACCUCGGAACUGCCUUUAAUACUGUCAGUCUCGAGUCCGGAAGAGGUGAGUGGAACUCCUAGUGUAGAGGUGGAAUUCGUAGAUAUUAGGAAGAACACCAGUGGCGAAGGCGGCUCACUGGUCCGGUACUGACGCUGAGGUGCGAAAGCGUGGGGAGCGAACAGGAUUAGAAACCCUAGUAGUCC